GACGAACGCUGGCGGCGUGCUUAACACAUGCAAGUCGAACGGAAAGGCCCUGCUUUUGUGGGGUGCUCGAGUGGCGAACGGGUGAGUAACACGUGAGUAACCUGCCCUUGACUUUGGGAUAACUUCAGGAAACUGGGGCUAAUACCGGAUAGGAGCUCCUGCUGCAUGGUGGGGGUUGGAAAGUUUCGGCGGUUGGGGAUGGACUCGCGGCUUAUCAGCUUGUUGGUGGGGUAGUGGCUUACCAAGGCUUUGACGGGUAGCCGGCCUGAGAGGGUGACCGGGCACAUUGGGACUGAGAUACGGCCCAGAGUCCUACGGCAGGCAGCAGUGGGGACUAUUGCACGCUGGGCGGAAGGCUGAUGCAGCAACGCCGCGUGCGGGAUGACGGCCGUCGGGUUGUAACCCGCUUUCGCCUGUGACGAAGCGUGAGUGACGGUAAUGGGUAAAGAAGCACCGGCUAACUACGUG
rnacentral:rRNA from 1 species